UGAGUAACCUGCCCUUAACUCUGGGAUAAGCCUGGGAAACUGGGUCUAAUACCGGAUAUGACUCCUCAUCGCAUGGUGGGGGGUGGAAAGCUUUUUGUGGUUUUGGAUGGACUCGCGGCCUAUCAGCUUGUUGGUGAGGUAAUGGCUUACCAAGGCGACGACAGGUAGCCGGCCUGAGAGGGUGACCGGCCACACUGGGACUGAGACACGGCCCAGACUCCUACGGGAGGCAG
rnacentral:rRNA from 1 species